rnacentral:rRNA from 1 species
GAAUGUUAUCACGGGAGACACACGGCGGGUGCUAACGUCCGUCGUGAAGAGGGAAACAACCCAGACCGCCAGCUAAGGUCCCAAAGUCAUGGUUAAGUGGGAAACGAUGUGGGAAGGCCCAGACAGCCAGGAUGUUGGCUUAGAAGCAGCCAUCAUUUAAAGAAAGCGUAAUAGCUCACUGGUCGAGUCGGCCUGCGCGGAAGAUGUAACGGGGCUAAACCAUGCACCGAAGCUGCGGCAGCGAACGUAUCACUUAAAGCGAUUCAGCGGGUUACGAUUGACGGAGCGAAGCGACGUCAAAGCGUAUACAAAGUCGAGUCGGUUUAAGGAUACGUUCGUUGGGUAGGGGAGCGUUCUGUAAGCCCGUGAAGGUGGCCUGUGAGGGUUGCUGGAGGUAUCAGAAGUGCGAAUGCUGACAUAAGUAACGAUAAAGCGGGUGAAAAGCCCGCUCGCCGGAAGACCAAGGGUUCCUGUCCAACGUUAAUCGGGGCAGGGUGAGUCGACCCCUAAGGCGAGGCCGAAAGGCGUAGUCGAUGGGAAACGGGUUAAUAUUCCCGUACUUGGUGUUACUGCGAAGGGGGGACGGAGAAGGCUAUGUUGGCCGGGCGACGGUUGUCCCGGUUUAAGCGUGUAGGUGUGUGUUCCAGGUAAAUCCGGUUCACUUUAACACUGAGGCGUGAUGACGAGGCACUACGGUGCUGAAGCAACAAAUGCCCUGCUUCCAGGAAAAGCCUCUAAGCAUCAGGUAACAUCAAAUCGUACCCCAAACCGACACAGGUGGUCAGGUAGAGAAUACCAAGGCGCUUGAGAGAACUCGGGUGAAGGAACUAGGCAAAAUGGUGCCGUAACUUCGGGAGAAGGCACGCUGACACGUAGGUGAAGUGAUUUACUCACGGAGCUGAAGUCAGUCGAAGAUACCAGCUGGCUGCAACUGUUUAUUAAAAACACAGCACUGUGCAAACACGAAAGUGGACGUAUACGGUGUGACGCCUGCCCGGUGCCGGAAGGUUAAUUGAUGGGGUCAGCGCAAGCGAAGCUCCUGAUCGAAGCCCCGGUAAACGGCGGCCGUAACUAUAACGGUCCUAAGGUAGCGAAAUUCCUUGUCGGGUAAGUUCCGACCUGCACGAAUGGCGUAAUGA